rnacentral:tRNA from 1 species
GCAUAGCCAAGUGGUAAGGCAGAGGUCUGCAAAACCUCCAUUCUCCAGUUCAAAUCGGUAGUGUGCG